GUGGCUUUGCAUUAAGUAAGUGCCCUUAAUCAGCUUUUCAGUUCAGUUUUAUUGGUUGCACCACAGUCAGUUAUUUCAUCCAGAAAAUCUGAGGGCCCUACAAAGCUAAGCAGAGAAUUUUCUCAUCUCUCAACAAUAGAGGCUGCAGUGGAAUUCAAAUUACACUAUCCAUAGCACCAGCUGUAUCAUAUUGAUGUCAGAAUUUCUAAGGACUGCUCCCUGCAAGGUGCUCUCCUUCACAUUAUUCUGUACUCUGAUAAGCAUUUUAUCCAUUUGUUUUAUGACUCCUAUCCUUUUCCCUUUGGUUUUUCCUUGUUUCCUGGUACCUUUUUCAGUCAAUGUGAAGUCGUGUUAAACAAGACUGAAGUAAUGUUGGCAGGAAGUUCUUCUGACUUAAUUGGCAAUAGUGAUACCUUUAAUCCUGAAGAAUUGCAGAAGUUGAAGUGGCAAGGUAGACGACUGGAGCGCAAGUGGAGAAAGACUCAACUCAAAUCUGACAGAUUACAACAUAGAGCACAUUUGAAGAUCUAUGGUCUGGCAAUGUGUGUGGCAAAGAAACAAUUUUUUUCUGCCUGUUUUGCUUCUGCAAGCUCACGUUCAGAAGAGUUGUCCAGGGUUGUGAGAGGAUUAGUACAUGUCCCUUCUUCCCUGAAUUUGAACCAGUUAUUCCCUGAAUUUGAGUCAGUUACCUGUUGUGACAUUUUAAAUGAUUUUUUGGUGGAUAAAAUCUCUCAUAUUUGGGCCAACCUGGACUCCACACUUACCACAGCAACUCCUCUUAUUUGGUGAGCUUGUAUCAAUUUCAGUCUAUGACUCCUGAGGAUGUGGACAAGCUGCUUGGCGUAGUGCAGCCUACCACAUGCUCUCUUGACCCCUGCCCGACAUGGCUUAUACUCUCUGGUAGAGAAGCUAUUGGAGGGGGCUAGCAUCAUGAUUGCUUCUCUGAAGGAGGGCAGAAUGCCUUCCUGUCCAAUGGAGGCUAUUAUUAAAUCUCUUUUGAAGAAGCCUACAUUGUACCCCUCAGUUAAGCAAUUAUAGGCCCAUUUCCAACCUUCCAUGGUUGGGCAAGGUAGGUGACUGAGAGAGCUCCAGAUGGUUUUGGAUGAAACAGAUUAUCUAGAUCCAUUUCAAUUUGGUUUUCGGGCAGGCUAUGAGGAAGAGUUGGCCUGAUAGAUGAUCUCCUAUUAGGAGCUUCACAUAGGAAACUGAUUAUCUAGACCCAUUUCAAACUGGUUUUCGGGCAGGCUAUGAGGUGGAGACUGCUUUGGCCGGCCUGAUGGAUGAUCUCCAAUUGGCAAUUGACAGAAGGAGUGUGACUCUGUUGGUCCUUUUGGAUCUCUCAGAGGCUUUCGAUACUAUUGACCAUGGUACCCUUCUGGAGCAUCUGGGGGGUUGGGAGUGGGAGGCACUGCUUUGCAGUGUUUCUGCUCGUACCUCUUGGGCAGAUUCUCUUGGAGACUUUUGUUCUUCAAAGCAAGAGUUCUGGUAUGAGUCCCACAAGGCUCUCUAAUGGCUCCAAGGCUUUUUAGCAUCUACAUGAAACCACUGGGAGAGAUGAUCAGGAAAUUUGGUGUAGGGUGCUAUCAAUAUGCUGAUGACACCCAAAUCUAUUUCUCCAUUUCAACAUCAUCUGAACAAGGCAUAACCUCCCUAAAUGCCUGCCUGAAGGCAGUGAUGGACUGAAUGAGGGAUAACAAACUGAGAUGGAAUUCAAAUAAGAUGGAGGUACUUAUGGUGUGGGGCCAUAACUCAGGAGACAGCUUCGAUCUGCCUGUCCUGGAUGGGGUUACACUCCCCCAGAAGGAACAGGUACACAGUCUGGGGGUGCUUCUGGAUCCAAGCCUCUCUCUGGCAUCUCAGGUUGAGGCAGUGGCCAGAGGUGCUUUCUAUCAGCUUCAGCUGAUACGCCAGCUGCGUCUGUUUCUUGAGAUAAAUGACCUCGGAGCAGUAGUGCAUAUGCUGGUAACCUCCAGACUUGAUUACUGUAAUGUGCUCUAUGUGAGGCUGCCUCUGUACAGAAACUGCAAUGGGUGCAGAAUGUGACAGCCAGGUUGGGUCAACUCAAAGAGGCCACAUUAUACCUAUACUGCACUGGCUACCAAUAUGUUUCUGAACAAAAUACAAGGCGCAGAUUAUAACCUAUAAUGCCCUAAAGAGCUUAGGUCCAGGAUACUUAUGAGCUCCGCCACCUAUUGAGAUCAUCUGGGGAGGUCUGACUGCAGUUGCCAUCAGUUCAUCUGAUGGCUGCUCAGGGACAGGCCCCAAAGCUUUGGAAUGAGCUCCCUGUUGAAAAAAGAACCUCCCCAUCUCUAAUAACCUUUAAGAAGGCAGUUAAGAUACAUUCAUUCACCCAGGCUUUUAAUUAGGCUUUUAAUUGGAUUUUUAAUUAGAUUUACAGAUUUCAACAUUCUUUUAAAUUUUAAAUGAUUUUAAUGUUGUAUCAUUUCACUUUUGUUUUAAUUCGUGCGGUUUUAUUGGAAACUGCCCAGAAACAUGUUUUGGGCAGUUUAUAUAUAUGUUUAAUAAAAUAAAUAAACAAACAAACAAAUAAAUAAAAUGUUUAAGUUUCA